GCGGGAGUGGCGGAAUAGGCAGACGCGCAGGUUUUAGGUACCUGUGCCUUCGGGCGUGGGGGUUCAAGUCCCCCCUCCCGCACCA
rnacentral:tRNA from 1 species